rnacentral:rRNA from 1 species
ACGCUGGCGGCAGGCCUAACACAUGCAAGUCGAGCGGUAGAGAGAAGCUUGCUUCUCUUGAGAGCGGCGGACGGGUGAGUAAUGCCUAGGAAUCUGCCUGGUAGUGGGGGAUAACGUUCGGAAACGGACGCUAAUACCGCAUACGUCCUACGGGAGAAAGCAGGGGACCUUCGGGCCUUGCGCUAUCAGAUGAGCCUAGGUCGGAUUAGCUAGUUGGUGAGGUAAUGGCUCACCAAGGCGACGAUCCGUAACUGGUCUGAGAGGAUGAACAGUCACACUGGAACUGAGACACGGUCCAGACUCCUACGGGAGGCAGCAGUGGGGAAUAUUGGACAAUGGGCGAAAGCCUGAUCCAGCCAUGCCGCGUGUGUGAAGAAGGUCUUCGGAUUGUAAAGCACUUUAAGUUGGGAGGAAGGGCAUUAACCUAAUACGUUAGUGUUUUGACGUUACCGACAGAAUAAGCACCGGCUAACUCUGUGCCAGCAGCCGCGGUAAUACAGAGGGGUGCAAGCGUUAAAUCCGGAAUUACUGGGGCGUAAAGCGCGCGUAGGGUGGUUUGUUAAGUUUGGAUGUGAAAUCCCCCGGGGCUCACCCUGGGGAACUGCAUUUCAAAACUGGACUGACUAAGAAGUAUGGUA